rnacentral:rRNA from 1 species
AGACUUUGAUUAUGGCUCAGGACGAACGCUGGCGGCAUGCCUAACACAUGCAAGUCGAACGGACUUUAGUGAAGGAAGUUUUCGGAUGGAAUUCACCGAGGUUAGUGGCGGACGGGUGAGUAACGCGUGGGUAACCUGCCCAUAAGACUGGGAUAACUUCGGGAAACCGGAGCUAAUACCGGAUAUAUUCUUUUGUCUGCAUGGAUAGAAGAAAAAAGAUGGCCUCUCGACGAAGCUAUCGCUUAUGGAUGGACCCGCGUCUGAUUAGCUAGUUGGUGAGGCAACGGCUCACCAAGGCGACGAUCAGUAGCCGGCCUGAGAGGGUGAACGGCCACACUGGGACUGAGACACGGCCCAGACUCCUACGGGAGGCAGCAGUGGGGAAUCUUCCGCAAUGGGCGAAAGCCUGACGGAGCAAUGCCAGCGUGAGUGAAGAAGGCCUUCGGGUUGUAAAGCUCUGUCCUAAGGGAAGAAUGUACUUUGUGUAAAUAAUGCAAGGUACUGACGGUACCUUGGGAGGAAGCCCCGGCUAACUACGUGCCAGCAGACCGCGGUAAUACGUAGGGGGCGAGCGUUGUCCGGAAUUACUGGGCGUAAAG